AUACGUAGGGGGCGAGCGUUGUCCGGAAUGAUUGGGCGUAAAGGGCGCGUAGGCGGCGCGGUAAGUCUGGAGUGAAAGUCCUGCUUUCAAGGUGGGAAUUGCUUUGGAUACUGCCGCGCUUGAGUGCAGGAGAGGUUAUCGGAAUUCCCGGUGUAGCGGUGAAAUGCGUAGAGAUCGGGAGGAACACCAGUGGCGAAGGCGGGUAACUGGACUGCAACUGACGCGGAGGCGCGAAAGUGUGGGGAGCAAACAGGAUUAGAUACCCUGGUAGUCCACACUGUAAACGAUGAAUGCUAGGUGUAAGAGGUAUCGACCCCUUUUGUGCCGGAGUCAACACAAUAAGCAUUCCGCCUGGGGAGUACGGCCGCAAGGUUGAAACUUAAAGGAAUUGACGGGG
rnacentral:rRNA from 1 species